UACGGGGGGGGCAAGCGUUGUUCGGAAUUACUGGGCGUAAAGGGCUCGUAGGUGGCCAACUAAGUCAUACGUGAAAUCCCUCGGCUUAACCGGGGAACUGCGUCUGAUACUGGAUGGCUUGAGUUUGGGAGAGGGACGCGGAAUUCCAGGUGUAGCGGUGAAAUGCGUAGAUAUCUGGAGGAACACCGGUGGCGAAAGCGAUGUGCUGGACCCUUUCUGACGCUGAGGCGCGAAAGCCAGGGGAGCAAACGGG
rnacentral:rRNA from 1 species